rnacentral:rRNA from 1 species
UGGGAAUCUUCCGCAAUGGACGAAAGUCUGACGGAGCGACGCCGCGUGUAUGAUGAAGGUCUUCGGAUUGUAAAGUACUGUCAUUGGGGAAGAACGGUUUUCUUGAAAAGAUUGAGAAGACAUGACGGUACCCAAGGAGGAAGCCCCGGCUAACUACGUGCCAGCAGCCGCGGUAAUACGUAGGGGGCAAGCGUUGUCCGGAAUUAUUGGGCGUAAAGGGCGCGUAGGCGGGCCUUUAAGUCCGGUGUGAAAGAUCAGGGCUCAACCCUGAGAGUGCAUCGGAAACUGGAGGCCUUGAGGACAGGAGAGGAAAGUGGAAUUCCACGUGUAGCGGUGAAAUGCGUAGAUAUGUGGAGGAACACCAGUGGCGAAGGCGACUUUCUGGACUGUAACUGACGCUGAGGCGCGAAAGCGUGGGGAGCAAACAGGAUUAGAUACCCUGG